AUUUCUUUAGUUUAAAAAAAAAAUAUAGAAUUGUGGUUUCUAAAAUGGAUUUCCAAGAAAUAGUGGUUAUU
rnacentral:tRNA from 1 species